AGAGUUUGAUCAUGGCUCAGAUUGAACGCUGGCGGCAUGCCUUACACAUGCAAGUCGAACGGCAGCACGGGGGCAACCCUGGUGGCGAGUGGCGAACGGGUGAGUAAUACAUCGGAACGUGUCCUGUAGUGGGGGAUAGCCCGGCGAAAGCCGGAUUAAUACCGCAUACGCUCUACGGAGGAAAGGGGGGGAUCUUAGGACCUCCCGCUACAGGGGCGGCCGAUGGCAGAUUAGCUAGUUGGUGGGGUAAAGGCCUACCAAGGCGACGAUCUGUAGCUGGUCUGAGAGGACGACCAGCCACACUGGGACUGAGACACGGCCCAGACUCCUACGGGAGGCAGCAGUGGGGAAUUUUGGACAAUGGGCGAAAGCCUGAUCCAGCAAUGCCGCGUGUGUGAAGAAGGCCUUCGGGUUGUAAAGCACUUUUGUCCGGAAAGAAAUCCUCUGGGUUAAUACCCCGGGGGGAUGACGGUACCGGAAGAAUAAGCACCGGCUAACUACGUGCCAGCAGCCGCGGUAAUACGUAGGGUGCAAGCGUUAAUCGGAAUUACUGGGCGUAAAGCGUGCGCAGGCGGUUCGCUAAGACAGAUGUGAAAUCCCCGGGCUUAACCUGGGAACUGCAUUUGUGACUGGCGGGCUAGAGUAUGGCAGAGGGGGGUAGAAUUCCACGUAGCAGUGAAAUGCGUAGAGAUGUGGAGGAAUACCGAUGGCGAAGGCAGCCCCCUGGGCCAAUACUGACGCUCAUGCACGAAAGCGUGGGGAGCAAACAGGAUUAGAUACCCUAGUAGUCC
rnacentral:rRNA from 1 species